CUUCCAACCAGAAGAAGGCUUGCAAACUCUCAGAAUUCUUAGACCCAGAUAUUUGAAGAUCUGGAAUUCUGAAAUUCGGGAAGGUCACUCUUGGUGACCCAGAGCUGGUGUGUGCCAUCUGCUUUUCCUGCCUGCAGCUCCUUCUCCCUCUAACCAGGAAGCCCCCCCCCAUUCCCCUCACCUGGAUCCCUGCCCGCUGCCUGGGGCAGCCCCUCCGGUACUCACGGCUUGCGGCAGUGGGCAGCUGUGAGCAGCCAGCGGUCACUGAUCAGCGUCGCCCCACAGAAGAGCCGGAAAAAUCGACCUUUGCCUCCCUUGGGCAAUCAAAACCUUCUUCCAGAUUUCCACUGCUUGCCAACUUGAUUCUCAAGAAAGCGCCCCCACAAGGGUGCUGUGGCUGAAAGCACCAUCGCUGGACCUGGCCUGUCUGCCUGUCAUCUCAGUGUGGGCACAGAUGAUGGCUGAGUGGCUUGUGUGACCGGUUCAUUAAAAAAUGUGCCAAGUGGCUUCUGCACCUGCCAGUCAGGCUGAUGACCUCACCUGAGAGACCAGGCUGACAUUUCCUGGGUGUGCUUACAAGGCGUGAUGGCGAUGAACCAACUGAAUUGAAGGGAGCCGGAUACCAAUGCCUGGGUCCAGACCUCACCCGCCCAUCUGUGGGCUCCGGGAGCCAGGGACCUUGCUGCACCCACUUCCAUGCAGCCAGGUGACACACAGGCCCAUGAAUCACAGGAGGCCCAGUCUGCAAGGGGCAUCCACCUCACGCUGGCCAACUCCCUCAUUUCAAGUGAGGAAGCUCACAGAGGACAGUGACUCAUAAGAGGUCACACAGCCGGUCCACCUAAGGACCCAAAGGCCCUAGUUCCAGCGCUAGGCCCUGAGCUUCUUUCCCGCAAGGGCCGGCUUCUUACACCUCAGCAUCAGCACCCCAAAUCCUAUCAGGAAGGCUUUGGGCGGCUGCCUCCUACUCUCAAAUCUCCAGCUGUCACUCACGGCCCUUGGCUGUGGUGCUGGGAACAAUUAUGUCACCAGCAGGUGCACGUAGUGCCCUCGCGGUGACUUUGACAGCUACCACUUAUUAUGCAUGCGCUCCGCACAAGGCGUUCUCCGGAUGUCCACACGGUAAUCCAGGACAGAAGAUUUCUAACCUGAACCACUGCAAACUGAGGAUUGUCCAUACUUAAAUCAACCAAGGAAUGGUCUGCUACUUUCCCAAAUGACAGCAGUGAUCUGAUCACACCAGCUGGGUGUUAAAACCACAUGGUGUUAAGUACCUGUUUUACACCCACUGGAUGAUGGAGAAGCCGAGGCCCCGACACAGCAAGUGACUCUGAGGUGACACAGCCCAGUGAGCGACAGGUGUUUCCUGACAGCAAAACUAAGAGCACACUCUGUAUGUGUUCGGGACAGGAGAUCUUCUUUCCAGUUAUUUUGAACUUGGGAUUGGUUGAAUCUGAGGAUGCGGAACAGGAAAGCACUGAAGACUGGGCUGCCACGUUUCCCUCUGGAAUCCAGAGAUGAUGGAGUACUCAUCCCUGACUUUCACUUGGAUAAGAUUCUUAUCCAUUCAUUCUGUCUUUUCAAAUUUACCAACUCCAUAAAGACAAAGGUUGCCCCUGCAAGGGCAAUCUUGAGGGUUUUAUGGGCCUCCUCAUCUCAAGUGUCGUCCUGCAACGUGUGUCCUUUACCUGGUCUCCUGGAUGACAAGCUUUCCACAUUUUUGCACUUUUGCGGGGAGCCUCAGCAUGGUGCGGAGGUUCUGGUUGGGAUGGGGGGAGAUAGGAGGGUUGUGGAAGGAGCAGGACAAAGAAUCCAGCGGCAGUGUGAAUGUGCUCCAGUCCCCCAGGGUAAGUGAAUUAUGAUGCAUUUCAAAUACAUCCAACAAUAAAGAACAGAGAGACUGCUGUGGUCAGCAGAGAGACACA